GUGGGGAAUAUUGGACAAUGGGCGAAAGCCUGAUCCAGCCAUGCCGCGUGUGUGAAGAAGGUCUUCGGAUUGUAAAGCACUUUAAGUUGGGAGGAAGGGCAGUAAGUUAAUACCUUGCUGUUUUGACGUUACCAACAGAAUAAGCACCGGCUAACUUCGUGCCAGCAGCCGCGGUAAUACGAAGGGUGCAAGCGUUAAUCGGAAUUACUGGGCGUAAAGCGCGCGUAGGUGGUUCAGCAAGUUGGAGGUGAAAUCCCCGGGCUCAACCUAGGAACUGCCUCCAAAACUGCAUGACUAGAGUACGGUAGAGGGUAGUGGAAUUUCCUGUGUAGCGGUGAAAUGCGUAGAUAUAGGAAGGAACACCAGUGGCGAAGGCGACUACCUGGACUGAUACUGACACUGAGGUGCGAAAGCGUGGGGAGCAAACAGGAUUAGAUACCCCUGUAGUCC
rnacentral:rRNA from 1 species